UCUGCUACACGGUCUGGGCAUACGCGGCGCUUGUCUUAUAGAUAAAUGCUUAUCAUGUCUUUCGCCACAUAACUGGAAACGUUGUGACGCUUCUGUGGUGUACGCUGUCCGCAUACUUCUCCUCUUCUGUUCGCUUCAAUGGAAAUGCAUAGAGAAGACCUGGAUACGGACAUUUCUCAACGGGUGUGGUUGGUGUCUGCAUGCGCUGCAGGAUCUAUUAUCACCUCGGCGGUGUCCAUCUUCUUCGGGAUUUUCGUCAGCGCGGCUUUUAUACCGCUGUUGGUAGUGGGAAAUGGCAUUUGGAUCGCGGUUGCCUACAAGUACGGAUACAGGUGGCCCAAAAAGCAAGGAUGUCACGCCAACGGUGGUUCCCUCUGAGGGGCAUUCUGAGAAAACCACAAAAGCGUCAACCGAUUCCGCAAUAUGCCGCUAUGUCGAAAAGAUAAAUGACAAAAUUAAAAGACUAACUACAGU